AUGGCGGACCCACCUUCCCCCCGCCUAGACGAAGACGACACCUUCGGCCGCGACUUCAACGCCUCGCCCUCUCGCAACGCCGCACCCGCCCGUUCCGGCGAGAAGAGGCAGUUCGGCGAUCUGGAUGACGACGAAGACGAUGUCUUCGCUUCCAAGAAGGGAAAGACAAAGGUGGAGGAAAGUGCACCAGGUGCUGCCACGGGAAUGAUUCUGUCUCUCCGGGAAAGUUUGCAGACCUGCAAAGAGAAUCUUGAAUCAAACCAGGUGGAACUGGAAGCUGCUAAAUCAGAAAUCCAGAAGUGGCAUUCAGCAUUUCAGAACAUUCCUGCUGUACCUGCAGGAACCAAUCCAGAGCCUGUUUCGGUGGUUACUUAUCUCAAUAACCUGAAGUCGUCAGAGGAGUCACUGAAGGAGCAGCUGGAGAAAGCGAAGAAAAGAGAAGCUGCUUUUAUUGUAACAUUUGCAAAACGAGAACAAGAGAUUGCGGAAUUGAAGUCUGCAGUUAGGGACUUGAAAACACAAUUGAGGCCACCAUCAAUGCAGACAAGACGAUUAUUGCUUGAUCCAGCAAUUCACGAGGAAUUUACACGCUUAAAGAAUCUGGCUGAAGAGAAAGAGAAAAAGAUAAAAGAACUGCAGGAAAAUGUUGCCGCUGUCAAUUUUACCCCAUCCAGCAAACAUGGGAAGAUGCUAAUGGCCAAGUGUAGAACAUUGCAAGAGGAAAAUGAAGAGAUUGGGGCAAUGGCUUCUGAAGGAAAAAUCCAUGAACUUGGAAUGAAAAUUGCAGUUCUGAAGACCCAGAACAAUGAGCUCAGGAAUCAGUUCGAUGGGCUGUACAAACACAUGGAUGGCCUAACAAAUGACGUCGAGAGGUCAAAUGAAAUGGUUUCCAUACUGCAAGAGGAGUUAGAGGCUAAAGAUGUGGAGCUGGCAAGGUUAAAGGAGAUGCUUUCCCAAAAAGAGGCAACUGAAGACGACGCGGUCGUCGAAGAAAGAGAGGAAGCUGCAAAUGAUAUGAACGCUUCUUCUGAUCCGCAGCCGAUAAAAGCAGAGUCCUAA
rnacentral:rRNA from 1 species